CUUGGUCCCUUGAAAUUUGGAAAAAGAAUAUAUUAGUUGAACUUUCCUUUCUGGGCAGUUUUUCUCAAAACUAUAUGAGAGAAUCACCUGGGGCACUUAAAAAAAGUAAUGGUGCCCCAUAUUUAAAAUCUAGGUACCCAUAUUUGUUCUUCUAAAAUUGCUGUUCUUCACCCCUAGAGGUUCUGGGUUUAUUGGCCUGGCAUAGGGCCUGGCAUUGGUGUUUUGAAUAGUGAUUCUAAUGUGCAGCCAGUAUUAAUAAGCACUAUGAAAGGAAGUCUAGAAGAAAUAGGAGGUUCCAAAACCAACAUUCUUCUCUGUUCUCAGGUAAGUACAGAUGUGGAUAAUAGGAAGAAUAAGAGAAACUUUGUAAAUGUACAUUUUCUCAGAUCAGUUUGGUCCCUAAGCAGAGCCUUUUUUACCUCCACUAAUUUCUCCUGUACCAACUCUGCUUAGAAUAAAGUACAGAGUGGCAGAGCAGUGUAGGGGCUGAAGGGCUAAUGGUUAUUUCCAGCUCUGCCUUCAGCAUGUAGAAUGACCUUGGGAAGUCACUCAUUCACCCUCUUUGCCUCAGGUCCUCAUCUGACCUUUUUUGAGAGAGAAAGUGGCAUAAACAGUAUUGCUAAUAUUCUUUCUUAAUCUCUUAGGAUCUCUUUUGAGUAAUCUAAGUUUCUUUAAACCUCUUGCCAGGCUCUUAAGAAAGAGGACUUUGACCAGGGGUGUGACUAGGGACGUGAUCAGGGGUGAGAGUACCAGCAACAGUGAAGCCGCAAGUUUUCCCAUUGGCUUUAAAGUCUAGCCGUGGAUUUUUGUGUUUUCCAGAGCAAUAAACGCCUUUAUCACAUGACCGAGGAUAGAAGGGAGAAGGAUUCAUUUGCCUUUCAGGGCUUUGCUUUUCCUCAGAUAGAGCUCUGAGUCCUUGCCCUCUAGCACAUAGCCGUCGGCUCAGCGACACUGGCCUGGUCUUGAAGUGAUGGAAGGAAGAUGCAUGCCCUGCUGGAACUGCUCCUCCACAAGACUGCUGCUUUUGACAUUCUCUUUCCUUUCAUCAUAUUUCUUCUGAAUUGUGUCUGAUCGUGUUUUGUUUAAAAUCUCUUCCUCCACGGUAGUCAGCUCGGCCCCCUUCUCACGGCCCAGGGACAGCGCCUAGUGGGACUCGUACCACUGUCAGUAGGGUGUGCCGUCUUCCCUGGGGUUUUGGUGCUGACCGGUUUAUCGGUGGCUUGCGUUCCUUGUUUUCCCCCUGCAACACUUGGAGCCCUGGGAAAAGUUCCCCACGUUCAGCCUCAAGGCAUCGCGCUUCUUCCUGCCUCCCCGAGCCUGCACUGUGUGUAUGUGGCCUGGCCGAUCUUGGUCCUGGCAGCGGGUGUCCCAACUCAUACUUCCUUUUCUUAUGGUAGGGCUUUCUCUUGCUCUGGUCUUGUGGUGCUUGUGCCCGUUGUCCCGAUAUGCCCAUCGCUCUCAGCAUUGGCUGUGAAAGAGCUAGCCAUGGAUUUUCCCCUCCCCAGGAUUUUGAUGGUAAGUGCUUAGUUUACUUCAAAGUCCGUGGAUUUGCAGAAUCAGACUUGACCCAGAUAGUUAACUCUUAGUGAUCACUGCCAGUUGAGUCAGUGGCCUCUUUGCCAUUAGCCGCUGGCGUGACCUCAAAUGAAAAUGUUUAACCUGAGGUAACAACGUACAUCAUUGGAGAGAGCUUUGAAUUUAGACCUAAUAUACUUUUUUUUACCUCUGUCUGUAAUUAUCAAAUUCAUAGAAUUUCCUCUAGUUGGCAACUGUUUUUGUAUUGUUUUGUUUUUUAAUUUUCUCCUUAAGAGGAAGUCUUUGGCAGUAUAAAGUGUUAAUGUCUUUGUUCGUGUUGGUAGUUUGUGGCUAACUAACCCAAACUGUAUUUUUAAAUGCUUUUGGGAACCAAGGAAAUUCAAGUAUAAUCUGUUCAUUUGGUAGACACAAUAAAUGCCAGUUGUGGGGUUUAUUAAAGACUCAAGCCAAUAGGUAAAUAUUUAAGAAGCCCUGGAGUUCGUUGUUUUUGUUUUGGGGUGUAGAUUGAUGCGUCUGAAAUUAAUGAUGUAUGUUUUGGUGAUUGAGGCAUAAUUAUGUGGCAGCCUUUAGUUUAAACUAAUAUUUACCUCAAGUGAUUUGCUGUUUCAUGCUGACGCCCUUCUAGAAACAACACAUUUUUGGCCCUGGCUGUUUUCUUACAUGCCUUUCUAUUUUUACAAAUAAUGUUAAUCUGGUAUACACAGGUGUAACAAACUAGCCAGUGCCAUAAUGUUAAACAUUUUGAAUAUUACCUGAUUAUAACACAUAAGAAUUUGCAUUAUAUCCCCCGGUCUUAGAGAAUUCUUCAAGACUUGUUUUCAGGGAGAGAUGCCAAUCUUGACUUACAGCAGGUUGGCAGAGAGGCGGAGGGUCUGGAACAAGAAGUAUUCCUAUUUUGGUUUGGAUUGUUUGAAUUGGAGCUAUUUUCCUUACCUUACCUUACCUGCGUUGAUGAGCUUGUGUGUUGAGAGCCUGUGGUUGAAAAUCUUUGCCUGUAACUUUCAGCCCCAGCAUCUCCUUGGCAACAUUUGUUUUUCUAACCAGUGCACCGCCCCAGGGUAGAACCUUAACUAGUGAGUAGAAGCCUCUGGAGGCUGUGUUUUUCCCAUUCAGAAACUGAGUAGGUCUAGGUAGGUCAGAACCUGAGCCAGCUCCAUGUUUUUCACCAUGCUUUAUCUUGGAGUAUUCGUUGAGGGCUUUUAUUUUUCACACUGGUAGAUUAUGUCCAGCAAUAAGAUAUACUCAUUGUGGAUGAGGAGAUAGUUCAUUGGUGUCCUCUCACAUCCUACCCUCUUCCCCCUCAUGCAGCACUCCCCAGUUUACCUUCCAUCUUAAUAUCUGAGUAGUCUUUUUCUGGAAAGUAUGCUUUAUUUAUGGCAGCUCCAAAAAGCAUGAGCUGAAGAGUGAGUUCACUUUUCCUUGAGUUUGGCAAGGAUAGUGGGACUGUAAUCAGAAUGUGCUUAUUCUAAAAUUUUUCUAGAUUAAACCUCUUUCCUGGGCAAUAAAGUGUUAACGGCACCUCUCCCCCAACACACAUACACACCCCGCAGCCAAAAUAAAAAAAUAAAUUUGGCUAGCGUCAGGACUUACUUCUCCGUCUUGUCUUUAGGAAGUUAUUCACCUCUCGAUUCUGUUCCCUGAGAUUUUGAGAUGAUAAUUUCCUAUUCUUGACAGAAUGUAUAUGUUACCCACUCUCUCUUUCUCCUGUAAUAACAAAAUUGCUGUGAUAGCCAACCAGUCAGUUUAAAAAAAAAAUCAGGUAAUUCAUUUCUAAAUUGGAACUUGUUUCUUUCUAAUCAGGCUUGUAAUGUAUUACAGACAUCACUCUCAGCAUUGGCUACAGAAGUGAUUUAAUGCUGGGUUUUAAUGACUCCUUCAUUAAUCCUGGUAUUCUGGGAUUUAUCAUUCACUGGCCUUUGACCAGUGGAAAUGAUGAAAACUUUGAUUUCAUGCAUAUUGGAUAACACUGGACUGUUGCCGCUGGAGCCAUGAAUCUUGCCUCUGCAGUGGCAUGUGUGAUUGGGAGUGCCACGGAUGGAUGGCUGCUCUCCCAGGCCAGGCGCUGCUGCUGAAGCGGUGAGCACGAUGUCUUUAUCGGCUCAGGGUGACCUCUUCCCAGGACCGCUGGACUGCAAGUAGGAGUCUGCUCUGAUAGCUUCAUCUGCUGGACAGGUCUCUCGACUUGUGAAGUCAGGCUCACCCUUUCAGCUAUUUCCUGAAAGAUCCUUGCUUUGAGAAUGUGUGUCUUAAUGUAUGCAACUUAGAACACUUUUUUUCUCCUAGUAAAAUAGAUUUUGUUUUGUUCUCACAACAACUUCAUGAGGUGACGUUCAUGGUGCUGUAAGUCCAGCUUACAUAUAACGUUUCUCUUGCUGCUACUCCUGCUGCAGAGAGGACAGUGUUGGUUGCUUUCCUUGCUCUUCCUGGUAGCAUUGUGAAUGUUUCCUGGAAGAGAGGGGCUCAUUUAUGUACUAUUAGUCUUGGGGUUGGAGUGUAAUACCCUAAGUAUAUGUCAGGUGUGCACCCACCACCCCCCCCCCCCACGCCAGUGCUGAGGAGAGAGAAAGUCACGUACUUUAAUCUUCACAGAGGCUCAUGGGUUACCUAGUGCCUCCUCAGUUUAUCUUGAACACAUUGAUGAGCUUGAUAAAACUUCAGUCAGUGCCGCGUGAAGAUCACAUGGGAGGAUUAUUAAAAAG